ACAGUAUUAAAUGCUGUAUUAUUGCAGCUUCUGCACUAUUUUAUACUGAGUUGCCAUGUGAACAGCUUAUUAGUAAUAUUGAUAUUUUCUAUGUUUAUUCCUGUUAUUAGUGCUGUAGAUGAUAUUGAUAAUAGUGUUGGGGAGUUAAUAGCGAGUCAUUUAUCAGAUUGAAAGCGCGUCUAGUAUAUUUUACUGUACCUGUGACUUUCAUAAUGGAUUGCCGGUGGAAAAGCCGCCAAUUCCGAUUGUCAUUGGUGAAACCACGUAGCCUGUGGGCGGGGCGAGAUGGGCCAGUCUACCAAUCGGAGAGGAGAAUCCAGAACAUGCGUGAGGAAGAUGGCGGGAGAGAGAGCUCGGGCCUGGUGAUUGAGCGCGGGCAGUUUCGCCUCGGAUCUGUUUGGAUCUGGACUUUUGCCGCUGGUGGGUUUAUUUUUUCACGGAAAGACAGAAGGAAGGAAGGUGUCACCCAGGACUCAACCGCUAGCCAAACCGACGAGUGGUGAGCAGCUGUACGUGGAGCUUGAGAGCGCCGGGUCUCCGCGUGUCUGUUUCAGCACAUGACCUCUCCGCCAUUGACCUCUCGCUCAUGGAGAGCUGCGGACGGGAGGGUUGAAUCUGUCUGUUGAUUUCCGUGCAGCGAGCACUUUGUAUAUAUUGUAUCUGUGUGUUUGUGUCUGUGUGUAUUGGCGUCAUUGGAGGAAGGAUGUGGGGGUUUGGGGAAGGUCUGCACUAGUAAAUAGAUCAGUAAAAGCCGCGUCAGCGGUGGGAAAGAGUCGUUUGCGUGCUGAGAUCAGUUGAGGGCGCUAUUCUGUGCCGCCCGUCCUUUAUGGGGUUUGUAAGAACAGACUUUGUGGACCCCUAUCAGGCUAAAGUCAACCAAAGCUCAGGGUAAGAAUACAAGCAGCUUUUUUACAAGAUGUGAGUUUGAAACUGAUAAAUAAAAAACACUGUAUGAAAUUAGCACGAGUUCAUUUAGUGAUCAGAUCAGACCAAACACAGCUUUGAUGAAUAAUGACUGAGUUUAUUUCAUUGAGUUUAUUUAAUAUGAUGUUGGUGAUGCGCCUGACAAAGUACCAUUUCACCCCAAAGGGGAGGUUCUUUACUGUACGUUAUUUUCUGUUUAUAAUAAUAAAGUGAGAAGUUACAUUUUUAC